ACAGCAGAUAUAACUAUCUUUAUAUCGAACGUGCAAAUGUUGUAUAUUCAUGCUAAAAUUCCGAAGAAGAUAGUAAUAUUUUGAAUAAUUUUGUGAGAAUAGUUAUAUUACAGUCACGUCAUCGAACGAUGACCGACCUACCGUUUGAACUCCGUUUGUAUUCCAAUAGAGAUGGCAAGAGAUAAGAAUUUUUAUGGGCGGUGAAAGGAAAGUAUUACCCCCUCUGAUCGAAGUAGGAUCAGGCAAACACCGCUAUCGUUCGUUCGCUCACAUGACGAUAGCUCGGUGCUUUUCGUGCGGCUCUUGAGAAACGACCGCCCGAUGGCUAGAUGCCAAGCAGACACAAUCCAUACUAUAAAUACUGGCACGCACCACUGUCCCAUCCUGGCGUACCGUCCCGUUACUCCAUUCCGAUCUGCCAGGCUACGUCGCUCCUGAAAUUUUUCGAAACGUGUUGAAACGUUUACCACGUUUCAUGUUUCGAUUGAAUCACUUUAAUUUCUUUUCUUAAGAUAAUAGCAUUCGUUGUUUCUCAACUCGUUGAUCUUGUCGUUUCUAAUUUUUGUAUGUUUAUAUUUUUGUAUUUCUUUAUUUCUUUUUCUCUCCCUUUUGUCAUCCAUCGCCCGACAAAAAAUUAAACAGGACGACAGAGAGUUAUUCUCGCAAGUAAAAUGUGAAAUAUAUAAAUGUUGAGUUUCAGUUACCGAGACAAGAUAAACAUUUUUAAUAUACAAGAAUAUGGUGUAUCGUAAUAACGUGAAAAUGAAUGUAAGGAGUUUGUUUAUGAAAAAUAACAAGACGCAUGGACGUAGUAGAUUUUGGAUGAAAAGAAAAUCUAAAGGGAUGGACCAGACUGUGAGACGAGAACGAACAGAGAGAAGAAGGAACGCUUAUUGGACGUUAUUAAAUAUAAUGCCGCAAGGCAUGUCCCCCUUCGAAGAAACUUUUCCGAUAACUUCGUAAUUCCCUAAAAGGAUCCUCGUUCGAAGACUUUUAAGAUGUUCCUCUCUACUCUUCGCGAUAUUUCCCAUCGACUACGACCCGUUGCCCUUUCGAAGGGACUUCUCGUUCUCCGGAACAACGGGCUAUUAUGGGUUCUUUUUAUCGACGUCAAAUUCCAUUGACUUUUCACCCACAAAAGAAUGCUCAUCACGAUCACUUUUACCGAUUGAACAUAUUCGACUGACCCUCAAGAUUUUCAAAUAUUAAUAAAAUCUUUCUCUAGUUCUAGAAGAACGCGAACUUAUUUUAUACACGUUUUAAACGAGUGACAUG